GAAUUGCUGAUGAGUCCCACAACAGGAGGAAAUGGCCGUCCAGUGC
rnacentral:hammerhead_ribozyme from 1 species